rnacentral:rRNA from 1 species
UUCUAGCGAGCCCAACCUCCCACCCGUGUUUACUGUACCUUAGUUGCUUCGGCGGGCCCGCCAUUCAUGGCCGCCGGGGGCUCUCAGCCCCGGGCCCGCGCCCGCCGGAGACACCACGAACUCUGUCUGAUCUAGUGAAGUCUGAGUUGAUUGUAUCGCAAUCAGUUAAAACUUUCAACAAUGGAUCUCUUGGUUCCGGCAUCGAUGAAGAACGCAGCGAAAUGCGAUAACUAGUGUGAAUUGCAGAAUUCCGUGAAUCAUCGAGUCUUUGAACGCACAUUGCGCCCCCUGGUAUUCCGGGGGGCAUGCCUGUCCGAGCGUCAUUGCUGCCCAUCAAGCACGGCUUGUGUGUUGGGUCGUCGUCCCCUCUCCGGGGGGGACGGGCCCCAAAGGCAGCGGCGGCACCGCGUCCGAUCCUCGAGCGUAUGGGGCUUUGUCACCCGCUCUGUAGGCCCGGCCGGCGCUUGCCGAACGCAAAUCAAUCUUUUCCAGGUUGACCUCGGAUCAGGUAGGGAUACCCGCUGAACUUAAGCAUAUCAAUAAGCGGAGGAAG